rnacentral:piRNA from 1 species
UGGUGAGAACUUGCCAAAAGGUUGGAGAA